AAUUAAGCCGAUUUAUCGUCAGUUUUUAGUGUUAAGAAGCGCUCAAAUGAAUCUUGGAGUGGUUUGCUUUAAAAUUUUUUGGUUAAAAUAUGGAUUUCCAGCUCAUUGUUAAUACAGAUCUUCCAGGACAAAGACAAUUACUCGACUCCAUGUUCGAUUUCCUUCGGUCAAGUAUCUAUCUAAACUGUAUGCAAUAAUUGAAAAUUUAUUUUCGUUUCAGCACCUACUUUUACCAUAUAAAGUGCGAUGAAACGGACAAAUUCGGUUUCCCCAAGGGAGUACGGGAAUAGAUUCUUCACGGCGCUAUGCAGAGUUACGAUGUGGACUGCCGGUAAAGAGCUCUCACUAAGCGACUAUGAAAAUGGAGAUAUAAGUCAAGCUUUAUUAUUGCUUCAUCAGGUUUGGGAACAAGUAAACAAAUUAUAAUGCCAAGCGGGAUAUGGGAACAAAAAACGGUAUGAAAACGAUAACGAUCGGACCAGCCAACCCCUCGACACCUGGGACUCCACAGUUGCAGACCCCGGAGAAUAUAUAGCCCAUUAAUGUUCUAUGCCAAGUAAUCCUUUUACAAGGAGGAGGUAUAACACUUAGCGAGUACUGUUAAACAACAACAGCAGCAGCAGAAACUUCAGGAAAAACUUGUAAUAUUAAAGCGCUGAAUCCAUGAGGCCGAUGACUCUCCAGUUUCUUUGCUAUCAGAAAAAGCAGACAUAAUGCGCAGUUUCGCGAAUAGUGAUCAGCGGCGCAUGGCGAGCGUGACGAAAGUGGAGCAAAUCCUACAGCAGCAGUUGCGCGGAAUCUAAUUUGCAUGAAUACUGGGUGCAAAAAUAGCAUGCGUUUUAUCCAUAGCUUUAAAACUUUAAAAGAAUAAUUCUUCAAGAAACAAGAAGACUGCCAUCCAGAGAUCGAUUGAUCUUGAAAAUUUUUAAUAUUUAAUACCGACUUUUAAAUAUUUUAAAUUGGAGCUUAUCCGAAAAAAUCCGAGUCUCCGUUCAAUAUUAUAUGGAAAAUUACUGACAGGAAUAUUGAUUGUGCGUGUGUAUUGUUUCAAAUAAAUUAUUAAAUUAAUUAUUUUUAGGUACUGUGUAUUUGCAUUUAAAAAAUAUUAUGAGAUCUAUAAUCAAUUAUAUACAA